GAACGCUGGCGGCGUGCUUAACACAUGCAAGUCGAACGAAGCAUUUAGAACAGAUUACUUCGGUUUGAAGUUCUUUAUGACUGAGUGGCGGACGGGUGAGUAACGCGUGGGUAACCUGCCUUGUACUGGGGGAUAGCAGCUGGAAACGGCUGGUAAUACCGCAUAAGCGCACAAUGUUGCAUGACAUAGUGUGAAAAACUCCGGUGGUAUAAGAUGGACCCGCGUCUGAUUAGUUAGUUGGCGGGGUAACGGCCCACCAAGACCGCGAUCGGUAGCCGACCUGAGAGGGUGACCGGCCACAUUGGGACUGAGACACGGCCCAGACUCCUACGGGAGGCAGCAGUGGGGAAUAUUGCACAAUGGAGGAAACUCUGAUGCAGCGACGCCGCGUGAGUGAAGAAGUAUUUCGGUAUGUAAAGCUCUAUCAGCAGGGAAGAAAAAAAUGACGGUACCUGACUAAGAAGCCCCGGCUAACUACGUG
rnacentral:rRNA from 1 species